GGCAAAAUACAUUUUCUCGGCAGAGGCUUUUUGAGGAAAGACUUCCACAGCUUGUAUAAGCAGGGGGAGUUUGCUCAGUUGUCAUCACAUCACCAAAGACCUGCAACAUGCCACAGUGAGGGGCCAGAGUUUGGAUCAUGAGCCAAUGGAAGUCUGGACAGAGACCCGGGGUGCAGCCUCUGCAGCUCCGAGGAAGACCAUGAAAUGCCUAUGAAACUUGAUGAAGGGUCGGAGGUGUGUGGAGGAGGAUUUCCAGAACAUCGCAUCUUCCCUUGGUUGAGGAUUUAAAGUGGUGAAUAAUGCAUGGAGGAAAGCAUCCGUCACUCCGAGCUGCCUCUUCUGGACAGCAGGGGAUCUGAAGGAAAGGACAUAAAUCUGUGUUGGCGGCAAACAGCAGUUGGAACAUUGGCAGAUGGACUUGUAACGCGCCGCUGAUGUGGCUGCACACAGUCACAGCAAAAGGGGGUGGUAAGAGUUUGAUGUUGGUAUCACCUCAGUCGUGCCGUAGGGGCCCCGGGGGUAUAUCGUAUUAUGAGGCAGCCAGACGCUACAUCAAACCUGUUGGGCUGAAAGGUCACAGGAAUGGCCUCUACCCAUACGAGGAAAUUAACUUUUUUAUUUGACCCCAUUCUGGCAGCCUGAUUGAUUUCAAAGUCCAAGCUCACACGGCUGAGAAUAUAAUGUUUGGGCUAACAAAUGUGUCAAACGUCCCAUGAUACACUUGUGUUGGGUUUCAUUUGUACAAUUCUGAAUAAUUAAAGGGUAAUUCAUCUACACUAGUUGUAAACCCCAAGAUUAGCAUGAUUGCCAUGAAAUGAAUCCAUUUAAAGGUAAACGUGUUAAAACUCUACGACCUGCUUUUUAAACAUGUAAUGCCGUGUGCAUGACCAUUCAAGAGGCUCCAUAUCCCAACAUCACGCCAAGAGCUUAUUCAUCUUUUAUUUUCGCACGACAGCAGACAGCUUAAGCAGAGGAAAUAUUUGUACCACACGUUGGAAAAAUGUAUAUGUGAAAACAAACAACAAAAAACUAUACAA